rnacentral:rRNA from 1 species
GUACACGCUGUGACUAGCAUAUCAAUAAGCGGAGGAAAAGAAACUAACAAGGAUUCCCCUAGUAACGGCGAGUGAAGCGGGAAGAGCUCAAAUUUGAAAUCUUAAAGGGUUUCCCUUUACGAAUUGUAGUUUAAAGAAGUGUUUUCUGUUGAGGUUUUGGUAAAAGUUCUUUGGAAUAGGACAUCAUAGAGGGUGAGAAUCCCGUAUUUGACCUUUACUUUCAACUUUGUGAUACACUUUCAAAGAGUCGGAUUGUUUGGGAAUGCAGUCCAAAAUGGGUGGUAAAUUUCAUCUAAAGCUAAAUAUUGGCGAGAGACCGAUAGCGAACAAGUACCGUGAGGGGAAAGAUGAAAAGAACUUUGAAAAGAGAGUUAAACAGUACGUGAAAUUGUCAAAAGGGAAGCGUUUGACACCAGUGUUGUUUUUCUGAAAAUCAAUUAAAGAACUGUUUAUGCUAAGCUGUUUAGACUUUAUCAGCUAACUGUUUAGUUUUGAGCUUUUCUUUAAUGCACUUUUCAGUUAACAAGUCAACAUCAAUUUCUUUUGCUGUAAAAAAGCUUGAGGAAGGUGGCUUGAGAUUCGUCUUAAGUGUUUAUAGCCUCUUGCCUAUGCAGUCGGAGAGAUUGAGGUCUGCAGCGUAGAUCCUUCGGGGCUAAAUGCAUUUGUGCUAAGUUAUAGCAUUUUAUAGACAACUUGUUGACUAUGAUUUGUCUUGUAGCUUACUCGCUUAUGUUAUUUUACCUACGCUUAGGAUGUUGAAGUCAUCGUAUCGCGC